UUUUAUUUAACAAUAAGUCAAUAUCUAAUAUCAUGACAAAUUGUUUCGUAACUUAAAAACAUAAAUAAUUUAUAUCAUUAUAUUUAAUAAUAAAUGAAGUACUUACACGCCUGCAUUUAUGAAAAAUACAGAUCAUUUAUCGGCGUAGUGGCUGGAAUCGACUAGCCUCAGCCGAACCUGUCCUCCGCAUGUCCAGCCUAUCAACUUCCGAUAUCCCAGUAGGUGUCGAUCGUGGUGAUGGCAACGCUUAACAGGGAUUCCGGAUUCAGUUCCGAAAAGUAAGUCUGCGAAAUGGUUACCGCAUCCCAGGAACGCAACAGACGCUCUAAUUAUCCACUUUCUGCAUGAAGAGGUAGUAACGAAAUACAACGACGAAUUACUGUGUCAAAGACUCGUGAACCGUAAGAGAAUACUUCAAUGAACGACCGGCAGGCAAGUCCGGUGUCAGCAGCAAUGAUGAUAUGAGAUCCAGUA
rnacentral:ncRNA from 1 species